rnacentral:lncRNA from 1 species
AUCUAAGGAAUUGGUAAGAUUUCUUACCUUUUCUAUACUUACAGUUUAGAGGAAGAGAGAGGGUAAGGAUUCUUGAUAAGUUUCUGUAAACUAGAUUCUGGGUUUUAAGGCUUGAAUGCCUUUGAUUUUACUGACGUAUGGUUGUCGCACUUAGCUACCAGGACGAGAUGGCGACUCUGGUAUUGGUAAAUUGCCCUUUGUUUAAAUAAAUUAUUAUAUUUAAUA